rnacentral:rRNA from 1 species
UACGUAGGGUGCAAGCGUUAUCCGGAAUUAUUGGGCGUAAAGAGCUCGUAGGCGGUUUGUCACGUCUGCUGUGAAAACUGGAGGCUCAACCUCCAGCCUGCAGUGGGUACGGGCAGACUAGAGUGCUGUAGGGGAGACUGGAAUUCCUGGUGUAGCGGUGGAAUGCGCAGAUAUCAGGAGGAACACCGAUGGCGAAGGCAGGUCUCUGGGCAGUUACUGACGCUGAGGAGCGAAAGCAUGGGGAGCGAACAGG